GGUAUUCAAGAAAACAUCUUUAUUGUACACGUUGGCUUCUAUUGCUUGUAUCCCCUCCCCGACCCCAUGUAGUGCAAAAAAUUCAGAGAAACAGAGUUCCACAUAAAUAAGUCAGAUAACUUACAGAGAAAUCAAAGUGACAAGGGUUUGACAUGGAGUAAACCGGGUCUGCCCACCAGUAAGGCCAAGGAACCCUCUCCCCACACAUCAGGGUGAGGGCUCCUGCCUGGCCUUGCAGGCUGACACCGGGGUCCCUGGGUGAACCACAUCAACACACACAGCCCCGGAGGCACCCGCUGGGGGAUGCUCCUCCGCUGGGAAAAGCUCACGUGGGGAAUUGCACAAGUAACAUGUUGGGUGAGACACCACUAAACUAAAACUGGCAGAGAAGCCACGCACAGUUGACAGUUCUCCUCCCCUCAGAUAGGGUAUUACAGACAGACAGACACAGACACACAUCCCCUCCGAGGCCUCCUCCUCAGCAAGGGAUGUGCAGCACCAGAAGCGAGUCCACCCUGGGAUGUCCCAGGGCAGACGCUGACACCUCGUGUCCACACAGUGUGGGUCAGGGUGCUCCGGACCCCCGCAAGCUGCUGGGGAACUCUUUUGCCCUUUCCUUCCUUCUUACUCUUUGACAGGAAAGCAGUGAGCACCUGCAUAGUUAGAACAUCACAGACACAAAAAGCUCCUUCCCCUCCAGGUUUCUGCAGAACAGGCUCAGUGGUGAUAUUGCUCAGGACCCAAGUGAUGGGGUGACAGGAGCCACCCUGCCUGUUUCCCUGAUCCUCAAGGGGCACGGCAGCACUGCACACCGUUGGUGGUGUAAAUUGCUAAAGAUUACAACUGAGGCCAAGGGCUCAUGGCAUAAAGCUUCUCCUCAGCCUUCUACAUAGCUCACCUCCCCUCCAGUUUCGCCUGCCUGCUGCCCCCCUAAAGGCAGCAGCCCCCAUUCACGCUAACAGCCACAGCUGGCCAGAUGUGAAGCAUCACUAGAACAACAACUUGGUUGAAAUCAGCCCUUCAGCAGUUGCUGUAUGUCCUUCAGCAGGCUGGCUGGGCUCUGCUAUCUUUACACCAUUCCUCACACAAAGGCCUCAGCAGGACCUCAGCAUCCUUCCCUUCUGACACAGCCAUGGGGCUUUUAGGGUGAUCCUGUUCAAAGAGCACCCUAAGCCAUGGCCACCUUGAAUGCACUGGCCCAGCAGAAGACUAGAAUCCUGAUGUUGCUUAUAGGAGUGGGAUGGAAAGGUGUUCAAAGCCAGGCUGGAUGGAGUCUUGGGUGACAUGGUUUAGUGUGAGGUGUCCCUGCCCAUGGCAGGGGGUUGGAACUAGGUGAUCUUAGGGUCCUUUCCAACCCAAACCAUUCUAUGAUUCUAUGAUUGAGACCUCAUGCAUGCAGCAGCGCAGACUUCACCCAUUUCAUCAUUACUUCCAACAAAGCAGAUUCAAGUGACCACGUUGACCAAGGGACAACCUGCAUGAGCAGAGCCUGGACAUCUGCAGGGUCCUCUGCACUACAGAGUGUCCUUGGGGAGAGGCUGGGGGAGAAGCAGCCCAGAUUUCCAGAAGCUGCUGGUAAUUUCAGGGGUCCAACGUGAGGCACUGUAAGUGGGCUUGUAAAACAUGCAGGCACCUGGCCAAGGAGAAAGCAGAUCACCAUAAGCAUUGUCUGAAGUUGGGGAGUCCCUGUCUCAUCUCAAACUCUCUUUUCACCCCAAAGAAAAGAGAAGAAAUCUCUUGAAAGCCCCUUGAAAGUUCAGGCCAACAGACGCCAUCAAAGUGAAAUACAAACUCUGGAAAUGAGAGAUGAGAAGGAGCAGGGAAUAAAGAAAGGAUAAAGGAGUUAGUUCUGAACAGUUAGACC
rnacentral:lncRNA from 1 species